AGCGAACGCUGGCGGCAGGCCUAACACAUGCAAGUCGAGCGGCCCUUCGGGGCAGCGGCGGACGGGUGAGUAACGCGUGGGAACGUGCCCUUUGGUACGGAACAACUGAGGGAAACUUCAGCUAAUACCGUAUGUGCCCUAUGGGGGAAAGAUUUAUCGCCAUUGGAGCGGCCCGCGUUAGAUUAGCUAGUUGGUAGGGUAAUGGCCUACCAAGGCGACGAUCUAUAGCUGGUCUGAGAGGAUGAUCAGCCACACUGGGACUGAGACACGGCCCAGACUCCUACGGGAGGCAGCAGUGGGGAAUCUUGCGCAAUGGGCGAAAGCCUGACGCAGCCAUGCCGCGUGAAUGAUGAAGGUCUUAGGAUUGUAAAAUUCUUUCACCGGGGACGAUAAUGACGGUACCCGGAGAAGAAGCCCCGGCUAACUUCGUGCCAGCAGCCGCGGUAACAC
rnacentral:rRNA from 1 species